CUUGCUCAAGAGGAGAGUGUUAGAGAAGUCAGUCUCCUGUGAUGACUGACUCAGGGAGAAGUGUAACAAACAGCAAAAGAAGUGAUCAGAAAACCAUGGCAGAAGGAAGAUGAACUGAAUAAGCUUCUGGCAGGCUAGUAAGGCUGACAAUAAAGCACCACACAGCCACUUCCGUCUGGUGGGGUUGGAGAGAGAACCAGAAGCAUAAAACUUGUGAGAAGACUCAUGGGUUGAGAUAAAGCAAAAGCUGCACAUACAAGCAAAGCAAAACACUGCUUCCUUCCAGCUAUCAGAACCAUACAUGUCUCUACACAGCUCCAGUUUUUUCCAGUGCUUUGCUAAAUGCUGUGAAGAAUUUUCAGUUAAUGCCUGGCGGUAACACAGUGAUGGCUUCUACCAUCCCUUACAUGAGGGAGCAAGACUGGAGGACAAGGAAAACGCCUUGCUGUUCGUUUUUGUGGCCACCGGGUGUCAUUCUAGGAGCAGAAUUUGGCCAGGCUGGGGGCACUACUGUGGCAGCAACACUGGAGUCUUCACACAUACAUUCCAGUCAGUGGCUUGAACCACAACUAGUACCUAGCAAUUGAAUAAUGCUAUUAUCCGAAGAUGGCAUCCACCCAGAGGAAACAAACUCAAAAGAUGAGGAACUUGAAGGGUAGCUGUGAAGCCAAGAAGUAACAAAGCAGGAAGAGGUAUUAAAAUAUCAAAGAUCAUGUUUAGUAAAGUAUAAAUCAUAUCUUACUACAGCAUAAACUUCUGUCCUCCUGACUGAGAAAGAAAGUUACCAUAUUUUCCUUCUUCUGUGAGCUGUUUCUGCUGAUCAUUCCUGGUGCUUAUUCUACCUACCGAUGUGCUGUGAAGGAAUUAGCCACUCUACCACCACAGAGAACAAAGUCAUGCCACAGAGUUCUGGUUGAACAAGACUUCUGCAACAAAGAAAUCCAGUAGUAAUGUUACUGUUGAGACAUUCAAAGGCAGUAUUAGCCAUCUUGUAGUGAUGCUGUGAUGACCAUGAUACAUAGUUUUUCCUCAGUUCUGUUUUUAAAUGCUGGGUACUUUCCUUUAUUUCUGAAACAAUGAAAUCAACUUUCAGAUAAUGCCUUUUGUUUCUGAUGGUGUUUGUUUUAUAAAAUUAAAUGAAAUUGCUGAUGAAGUAUUUCAAUAUACAAUAAUGCAGUUAAAUUCUGAAGAAACAUUGGGUGAAAUAAGCUUAUAAAUAUUGCAACCUCGUUCACCCCAAGAAAUUGCAUAGGGUGUGUAAUGCACAGCUGAUCUCUGCUGUGAUUUUUCACACACCAUUGUUGAAAGCCAAAAUUAGUGGUUUUCAUUCUGAUUUGAAUUUGUUCAGAGAAGAUGAUACUGGAAUCCAUGCUGUGAAUAUGAACUAUUCAGCUAGAGUUAAAUUGCCUACUUAGUUUGUGAAGGGAAAGGAUAGGUUACAGCCCCCUUGGUAGCUGAAAGGAAGCUAUCAGAGAUGUAGGAGAAAAUUCACUGUAUUCACCCCAUAUUUUUAAACUUCCCUCUUUUUACACCAAAGCAUAGACUACUUUUGAUUAUCUGUUCAGACCAUUUAUAGUGAAUGUGUGCAAAUUAAGAAAUAUCUCCUUCCUGAGUGUGUGAGCACUGAUCACAAUAGCAGUCCCUAAGACCCAUAAUUUUCAGCUUCAUUCCCAAAGUUUUGCAAAGCUGUGUUUCAGAUCUCAUAGUUAUAAACAGCAGAAACUGAUCCUCUCUACUCUGAAGUGAACACAGCGGAGGAGGAAGUAGUCUUCCCAAAAAUAAACCCCUUUUUAAAGAAAAAAAUCUAAUUUCUCAGUGCAACUGAAAAAUAAAUAUAAUGCUAUAUCUUAUUGCAUAGGUUUAAUAUGAUAGGUGUAAUACCAAGCUACAUAUGAAAUCCACAGAAAUGAAAAGAUUGCUUAUUUGUUAGGGUUUGGUUUGUUUGGGGUUUUUGGUUGGUUUUUGGUGUUUGUGGUAUUUUUUGUUUGGUGGUUUUUUUUGGUUUGGCUUUUAUGGUUUGGGGUUUUUUUUUCCCACCUAUUUACUAUAGUCUUUGAAAACCACUGCUACACAACUUUCAUAAUUGUUAACCAAAUCUGUAUUGAAAUAUCUGUAUUGAAAUUGCCCUUUGGAUAUAGAAGUGUUUUGAAUUAAGCGUUUUCUGAUUAAGAACACCAUUGUUUUAGUUGUUGGACAUGUUAGACAUUUAAUCAUAUUUAAUCAUAUUAAUCAUAUUUAAUCAAGGGUCAAUCAUUUCUCCUUGGAAACUAUUAAUAGUCCAUUGCAGAGUUUUCCAGGAACUGAGCAAUGUUGUUAUGUAGAUAUUUCUCCCUAUGUAUUAUUUCAGAAAUAACCUAGCCAAGAAGCUGAUUCAAAUCUUCUGCUGUUCCAAAUGCUAAAUGACAGAAAGUGACAGAAGUGUGACAUUUUACAUCAGCUGAACUCACAACUGAGCAUGGAGCACAUCUGAAUUUAUACUGAAACAGUCUAAAUAUUAGAACCAAUUUGCAGCUACUUGUUAUACCACUAGAAUUUAUAUUUUACAUGGCAAUUAACUGAGAACACAACUGUACAGACGCAGAACGUCUUCAUUCAUCGUAUUCAAAGAGCUUAGGGCAUGUAUUUCUAGGGGUGGUUACAAAAUAUUUAUUCUUUGUUGCACAUAGCUGAUCUGAUUUUUGCUAGUGAGUCAUAUCAAUAAAGUUAUGGGAAAAUGGUGGCUGUAGCAUAUAUAAGACUGAAAAACUUACCUUCACAUGACACUGUACAGAACACUUGUUUAAUUAGUAAAAGCCAAAAUAGGCCUGAAUACAAACCACUGUUUUCUAGUUAGUCUCAAGAAUGUAAAGAAUUAAAUUUUUAGGAUUUAUAAGUCUUUCUUGUCCACAGGGAACAGGAGUCCUAGAAGUCGCUUGCUCUGAAUUUUGAGAUUGCUCUCUCAUAUAAUCUUAUUAAUAAAGCUGCCAGUCACAGCACUGAUGCUACGUUUUGUUACAGAUUUCUUAAUUUCUCUCUGGCAAGAAGCUCACAAAGUCUUUUUUAAUUAAUCAUUUGUAUUAAGAAUUAAGCAAUACCUGUCUGAGAAGAAAAAAAAAGUGCAUUUAAAAUUGAGUUAUAUUUUUAACGUUGCAGGAAAAAAAAGUCCAUGCACUGGUUUGAGCACAUGCCAAAGACUAAUUUAUGCUUGGUAUCUGAUGAUAUACACUCGCUAUUGUUUAUUACCAAGUUCAGAAGGACUCUCUGUAAAAGCAAAGGUCUACAUGCGACUGUCAAUAAAGCCAUACAAAUAAUUAUCUUGUGGAGGAACAAAAUUAAAAGUGUAUUCACCAUUCUAUAACAUAUUUGUCUUCCCUGGCAAAUGGAGCAAUGCAAAUCUUGAAGAAAAAUUUGCUAUUCUAUCUGCACUUCAAGCUUGACAAGAAAGGACUUCAAGUGCCUUAGUUGUAUCACAUUUUAUUAAAUCUAUGUCCUGUUUGACCAUGUAUGAACAUUUUGCAGUGGUACUUAAAAGCCUGAACUGAACAUUUUGCCACAGAGCCUGAAAUGUGUUCACAUCAGCAGAGUUUGGAUCUUCACUGCAAAUUAUGCUGCAGGACAAUAUGAUCUUUUCUGGUCCGCUAUAAGGUUUUGCAACUCUGGUAGUGAACUCACUUUAGGCUCAUUUUUACCAGCAUUAUUCGGGAUAGAGUAUUUUCUAGAAAAGUUAAAUUAUCUUCCCAGUAGUCUUGUUUUCAGCAGUCUUCUCUCUAGACUUAAGGAUCUGCUCCAGUAGAGACUCAAUUCUUUACAGAUACUUCAUUUUUUAUAUUCUGCAUAGUCUCACUAAAUUUGAAGAAACCUAAAUUUCUGCACACAUUGCCAUAUCCUCUCAUCUCGGAUGUUUUACAACCAAUUCACCUGUGACUUUAUUUUUUUCAAAGAAACUCUCAUAAAUUUUUAAUUAGGUGAAAUAAACCAACUGGUAGAGACAACAGUGUAGAAAGCUUAAGACAUUUCCUCUGGCAGGAAAAGCGCUAGAGAAAGCAGUAAUAUAGAACCAUUUUAAAGAUGGUCUAAGUACCUCAAUUAGGCCAAGUCAGCAACGUAGCAAAAAUUUAAUACAGGGACAAAUGCGUAGGCAAAAAUAGAUAAACAUUUCUUAUAUGUGUCCUCCCUCUUACAUGGCUGACAUAUAGACUUACAAAUGUAGCGGCAGAUUUCAAUCUAAACACUACACUAUUUGGUCUACUUUCAAAGCCCUUAGCUAUCUGGUCUUCCAAGUCCUCCUCUUCCCACAAGAUUUACAAAUCACUCCGUCAGAACCUCCCUUAUUUGAGGUGGUAUAAAGUGGGGAAACAGGGGAUAAUUGUUUAGGAAGUUGUCAUUGUGUGCAUUCCCUGUAUUUCACAUGAUUUGACCAUUAAUUUGGAUGAAUUUGUGAAACUGAAGAGACUUCAGCUACCCCUUCCCCACACAGCAAUGACAGACUGCUUUCCUUGGCAUGUGUAUAUAUCUAGUUUCACAGCUCAAGGCCCAACUGUUCUUUGUACACAACUAAGACAAGAUUAAUGACUUCAAGGCUUUGAUGACAUCGACUGAAUAGCCUGAACCCCAGAACUAAGUGCAGUUAUCAUUCGGUUACUGUGAGGAAAAGACAGAAGAUUCAAUUCACCACAGUCUAUGAAUUUUUCAAGACCGCACGAUGAAGUUACACAGACAACUUGGACUGGUUUUCAGUGCAGAUCAAUGCAGAAUUUCCUUAGAAAGGGGUAGACAAAGUCUUAGGAAUUGGGAAUUACUUGUUAUAUUUAGCCAUAUACCUAUUCUUUCAAGGAGAAAAGCUUUAGUUCUGU